rnacentral:rRNA from 1 species
CGAAACCUGCCCAACGGAACGACCUGUGAACACGUGAUGCCCCGGUUCUUUUCUCUCAGGAAGAAAACACAAACGAACCCCCGGCGCGACCCGCGCCAAGGAAAACAGAAAAACGGAUCGAGCACCUCAGAAGGAUGUUCCCCGACCUCUUAA